rnacentral:rRNA from 1 species
GAUGAACGCUAGCGGCAGGCUUAAUACAUGCAAGUCGAGGGGCAGCAUGAUUGUAGCAAUACAAUUGAUGGCGACCGGCAAACGGGUGCGGAACACGUACACAACCUUCCAACAAGUGGGGGAUAGCCCAGAGAAAUUUGGAUUAAUACCCCGUAACAUAGCGAUGUGGCAUCACAUUGCUAUUAUAGAUUUUUCGCUUGUUGAUGGGUGUGCGGCUGAUUAGAUAGUUGGCGGGGUAACGGCCCACCAAGUCUACGAUCAGUAGCUGAUGUGAGAGCAUGAUCAGCCACCCGGGCACUAAGACACGGGCCCGACUCCUACGGGAGGCAGCAGUAAGGAAUAUUGGACAAUGGACGCAAGUCUGAUCCAGCCAUGCCGCGUGAAGGAUUAAGGUCCUCUGGAUUGUAAACUUCUUUUAUAAGGGACGAAAAAAGGCUUUUCUAAGUCGUCUGACGGUACCUUAUGAAUAAGCACCGGCUAACUCCGUGCCAGCCGCCGCAGUAACAC